rnacentral:rRNA from 1 species
GACGAACGCUGGCGGCGUGCUUAACACAUGCAAGUCGAGCGGUAAGGCCCUUUCGGGGGUACGACGAGCGGCGAACGGGUGAGUAACACGUGGGUGACCUGCCUUUAGCUCUGGGAUAAGCCUGGGAAACUGGGUCUAAUACCGGAUAUGACCCUACUGGCGCAUGUUGUGGGGUGGGAAAGCCUUGUGCGGCUAGGGAUGGGCCCGCGGCCUAUCAGCUUGUUGGUGGGGUGAUGGCCUACCAAGGCGACGACGGGUAGCCGGCCUGAGAGGGCGACCGGCCACACUGGGAC